CAAUGAUGUAUCAAUAAAACCUCUUGCUGCUGGAGAUCUGCUUACCUGGUGGCCAGGGUGGCAAGACAAGUGAAGCCUGACUAUGCCUGCAGCAUCCACUGUGGAAACUACUACAUCUUUGCCAUGCCAAACACAGCAUGCUUCUGGUCAGCCUAUACAGUCUCUGUCCUGGUGAGGAGCAUGAUCACCAACAGGCAAGAUCUUCUGGCCUCGAAGUUUCGCUUGAGCUAAAAGAGCUCAUCUCAGGACUUUCUGAAUUUUCAGCCCAUAUGACAUGGAAGAAGAGUUAGAAGGGGAAUCUGACUGCUUGGAUCAGGGACUGUCUGGCUAGUGGAACUUGAAUGUAUACAACACUCUUCAUUUUCAUGUUUUGACAUUUUAAAAAAUGUUUUCACUUUCCUUAUCUACUUUGACUCUAAUAACAUCCUGAAAGGUAAGUAGAAUUAUUCUCAUAAUAUGAUGAAGAACCCAAGGCUCUCAAGGGAACACCACUCUUGGAUUAUUUAGCCCCACUCUUCUACAAGAAUUGCAUACCCCAACCCCUGGAGCCCUCCC
rnacentral:antisense_RNA from 1 species